UACGGAGGGGACUAGCGUUGUUCGGAAUACUGGGCGUAAAGCGCACGUAGGCGGAUUUGUAAGUCAGGGGUGAAAUCCCGGGGCUCAACCUCGGAACUGCCUUUGAUACUGCAAAUCUCGAGUCCGGAAGAGGUGAGUGGAAUUCCUAGUGUAGAGGUGAAAUUCGUAGAUAUUAGGAAGAACACCAGUGGCGAAGGCGGCUCACUGGUCCGGUACUGACGCUGAGGUGCGAAAGCGUGGGGAGCAACAG
rnacentral:rRNA from 1 species